GUAACGAAUAUUCCGCAAUGCGCGAAAGCGUGACGGAGCGACGCCGCGUGCAGGAUGAAGCGGCUCUGCCGUGUAAACUGCUGUCAGGUGCUACUAAUACUGAAGAGCACCAGAGGAAGGGCCGGCUAAUCUCGUGCCAGCAGCCGCGGUAAUACGAGAGGCCCGAGCGUUAAUCGGAAUCACUGGGCUUAAAGGGUGCGCAGGCUGGUCCGUGUGUGUGUCGUGAAAUCCCCCGGCUCAACCGGGGAAUUGCGGCGCAAACUGCGGACCUUGAGGCAGGUAGGGGUCGUUGGAACGAUCGGUGGAGCGGUGAAAUGCGUUGAGAUCGAUCGGAACGCCGAAGGUGAAGACAAGCGACUGGGCCUGACCUGACGCUCAUGCACGAAAGCGUGGGGAGCAAACAGGAUUAGAUACCCGAGUAGUCC
rnacentral:rRNA from 1 species